CUUCAGACCCAUUGCCGGUGGUGCUGAAGGAGAGCUUGCAGGUAUUCAGGUUAGAGAUCAGGACCAACUCUCUGACACUGAGGUACUGGGACAGACGCCUAGAGGAGAUGAGGAUUCUCCAUCACCGGAAGAUUUUUGGAGUGGAGGCCACACAACUAUGGACAGGGCUGAUCCUGUCUUGAGCAUCCUGUCUAGAUGGCCUCCUCCUCUCCUGCCAGGACUAUUUUUCCUGCGAUGUUAUGCUCCCAUGGGGACAGCAGAGCUGGCAGUCGGUAGGUGGAGCAACGUAUCUUUUACCUGUAAACUGAUCACAUUUAAUCCAACGAGUCAUUAAGAGACCGAAUGUGGAAUCUCAUGGCCCCAGUUCUUCUGGCUGCUUUUCAGAGCUGUGCCCCCUUCCUCUUCACCUCCCCUGCUCUGCAGACCCAAGUGACACCUACCCAUGUCCAUAGCCUUCUGGGCACAUCCUCCAAGGCACCAGGUGCAGAGCACCCCCCGAGAUCAUGCCCGUCUCCCUUAUCUUGCAUCUCCCGCCACCUGCAAUGGGAUACCCAGGAUCCCACCCUGGCCUUCCGCAACUAGGAUCGCAGCCGCUCUCUCUCGGCACAUCACUCUUCAGAUCAAAUCCCAAGGCAGCGCCAGCCCCGGCUGCUUCUGGCUCAUUGUUUCCACCAUGUAGGGAUGGACCUACUUUGCUGACACAGGUCGUGUUACACAAUUAGGUCAGUUUCCCGCUCCGGCGCCCUCCCUCCUCUACCUCCUCCUGCCGAUGAAAGCACCAGCGUCUUCCAACCGCUCCGCGCCGCACUGGGGAACAGGCUGACGGCGGAGAGACGGGGCUGGGGGCCGUGCAGGGGUGAGAGGCGCUGUUACAUCCAGCUGGCAGCCCGUGGGCUCAGACGGCGCGAACGAGGUGGUCCGCUCCGGCACUGGCACUGUGUUACUGGCUCUGUGCUUCCAGUUGGAGUCGGAGAUUUUAAGGGCUUAAUGACUUUCUGUCAAAGGAGAAGGAAACCUGACCUGCUUCGCAACAUUUUCUGGCUGCUCUUGGAGCCUGAGUCAGCAGAGGCCCUCCCCCACGCUCCCAGCCCAAAGUCACUGGGACUGGGCAAGCACUUUGAUGAAUCAGGCCCUCUGGGAUGUUUUCUGGAAAAGGGACAGAGACUAGAGCUUGACCUAGUUGUCUGAAUACAGGAAGCUCUGGGUGCUUACCCCAGAUCCUUUCCCCGAUCCGUGCCUCAGUUUACCUUACCUGAGCAAUUAACCUCUUUGGGAUGUGUUGGUUGUGAGGGUGUUUGUUAUUAGCUUUGAAGAUGCACAUCAAAUGUGUAUUACCCAACAGGGAACCAGCUGUCGGCUUCUGCUUUAAACAUCCAUAGUUUGGAGAUCCCUGGGUGGGGGUAGACAGGGCAGCCUACUGUUUGCUCAGAGC
rnacentral:lncRNA from 1 species